CUCUGUCCAUCUGAGAGAACAGAAUUUUAAUUCUAGCCCUUGCAGAUGUAUUUGCUAAUCUCAUUGCAGACCUGAAUGUACAACAAGUACCUUGCAAGUGUGAUAAAUGAAGGUCAUGAAUACACAUGAGGCUGUGAAUUAUUUCUUCAUGGAGACUAGCAAGGAUCAGGACCAAUUUCCCUGCUGGAUCCAGACAUUUGUGCUUCUCCUUGGGAAUAGAAAGAUCAGUGGGCUGAAUACUCUGAGAGGUGGAAGAACAAGUAUCAGAAGGAAAACCUUUAAGGAAGGCGUGUAAAUAAAA